AGUCUUCUGUGCUAUAAUUGGGCAUCCUUCAGGAUUAUGCUUUUUUAAGCUUCUGAUCUCAGUGACUGGUGCCAGAUGCUCACCAGCUGGUUGAUACCUAAAGCAGGAGUGGGGAUACCCAAGCAGAAUGUCAGCUUGCAUCAAUAAAGCUGUGACAAUAGCCCUGAAAACAAGGAACAGGAACCAAAUAACCAGAACUGGGGAUGUGAAGUCAACAAAACUUUGCUCUCCCCUCCUCUGCAGUGCUUACAGGGAUGAACAUCACGGUGCCCCCAUGUAAGAGCUAUAGUGGAUGUAGGGAACUGAAUGAAAAACCCCAUACCUUGGAGCAUAUCAUAUUGCACAUCUGCAAUGCUUCAUUUGUCAUCUGCAAACCACGGCUUGCAGAGUCAGCACUUCAGCCAAAUCCAGACAAACUGGAGCUCCAUUCAUUCCCACGCUAACACAGGCGGAAAUGGGAGAAUCACAUCAGCAACAAAUUCAGACCAUAAAGAUACACAGGGGAAACCCUGCAGCGUGUAACAGUAUGUACUGUUGAGAAUUGAAUAAUGUCGGUAAACAAUGUUAAAAUAAUUAUAGUAAUUAUAAGUGUUACACAUGCGGGAAAAAUUGUUUGGAAAGUAAUUAAGACUUCAUGCACAUGUCUCAUCUUCCUGGAAGUUGAAGUAGGAAUAUAAAACUCAAAGGAUUCAGAGCUCCUCUGGCCAUUUCUCUUGACUUCCUUCUGGACAGCUGGCUGCUGGGCGAGGUGUCAGCGCUUCACAAAUCCCCUCUCUGUGCUUCAGCUUCGCCACCAUUCCUCCCAGAUGUCCUUCGGGGCUGGGCUGUACGCAGGACCCUGCUCCAAUCCCUGCACCGUGCAGUGCCCGCAGCCUCUUGCAACCAGCUCCAAUGAACCCUGUGUUGUAUCCUGCCCUGCCUCCAGAGUCAUCAUAUUCCCCCCUCCCGUGGUUGUGACAUUCCCAGGGCCGAUCCUCACCACGUGCCCACAGGAGACAGUGGUGGGAAGUUCUGCAGUCCAGGAUGGAUGUCCAUCAGCCUCCCUGGCAUCUGUAGGGGCUGAAUUCCUGCACUCGGAGCCAUCUGUAGAAAGAUCCAUCCCCAGACCCAUGUCCCAGUGCACCCCACGGUGCUCUUAUUUGUUUGAUUCCCACUGGGUGCACCCUUGCAAUAGAGCCAGCUACAGAGGCUACCAACCGUCUGAUAACGAGAAGGAAGAGCACACUGCAGAGAAGGAGAAACCAGAAACAGAAAACAUAGAUGCAGCAAAUGAAGACGUAGAGACCUCAGAAGCAUAGCACAGCAGUAUGGGCCCCAACCAGCAUAUCCAGAAGUAUCAUAUAUUCCUUCUGCCUAUCCCAAGCAGACUCGCCUAUGUCUUCUUGAAGUUAUGCUUUACAUUAGUUUCACAGUGUUUUUCUCAAGCGCAUUCUCAGGCCAGUAGGCAAUCCAGCCAAGAAAAAAUGCCCCCCCAAGUUCCAUUAACAGGACCAUUGAAACAUCCAGCAUCUCUUUCUCGGGAACAAUUUGCUCUUUUUGCAUUGCUUUGCCAGAAAAAGGCAGGCAGCAGUAGUUUCAAAAUCAACACAAAUGAAGUCAGACAAGAGAUUACAAACCCUUUCCUUGCUGAAGCUUGUUAGACCGGUCCUUGCACUUUGGGGCAUUAGUCAUCAGGAACUUCACUUUUUCCUUUGAUAAACAAAUGUAUGUUACAUAUACACAUGCCGUUUGCUUCUGCCUUUCAGCUUCACUGCAGGGAAGAAGUCUAGCAGGAGAGAAAUACUGUAUUUAUAGUUUUAUUUAAGAAAAUAAAAGCACUGUUUGGUGUCACUGGUAUAUAGAAGGCUGAAUGCAGCAUGAAGAUGUCUGUAUCAGCAUCUUGAAUGGUGUCCUUUGCUCUGUUAUUUUUUCCAGCAGCCUCAUCCUGUCCUCUCCCUCCCCAAUAAAGUUAUUCUGCAUCAUCA